CCUUGCCCGUAUGUGGGCUCUGUACCGAGGAUGUCGUUGUGGCUUGUACAGCCCUUUGAGACACUUGUGAUUUAGGGCUAUAUAAAUAAACAUUGAUUGAUUGAUUGAACUAGUAUAUCAUGCAAAAGCGCAGAUUCCAACCAAUCAGUCCAUCUUAGAUGAGCUCGGGCCGAGCGAAGCCAGCGGCGUUUCUGGGUGUUGUUGCAUUUAUCAACAACACCCAGAAACGCAGAGUUUUGAGGACGAAAAUGAAUUGAUACCAUUUUAGAAUAAGGCUGUAACAUAGCAAAAUGUGGCAAAAAAUGAAGCGCUGUGAAUACUUUCCGGAUGCAGUGUACAGUAUAAAGGGCAGAUCAAUAGAAGUGAUAAUUAGACGUUGCAGUUCAUGGGUGGGAUGUGAGAGAGGGUCACUGCCUGAGGAUACAGACGAGCUGUUGGCAAGUUGUCCUGGCACGUAUAGACCUGUUCCUUCUACCUGAGGGCCGCAGGUGAGGAGCAGGGUGUUGUUGGUCACGCAGGAUGCUGUGCACUCGCCUCAGACAGCAGGUAGUGUAGACUGUGCCCAUCUCUGGAAGACUUGAUUUUUUGUCAGCUGUUUUAAUCACCGAUUAGAGAGUCUGCUGUCAUGGCACACUUAUAAAAGCUCACUCUUACACUAGGAAGCGGAGUCAUUCAUUGCGCUUUACCUGACACAUGAAACGUGACAAAUACGAUCGCUGAGAUGAAACGGAUCAGGCCCGUGAACAGGUUCUAUCCAGAUGAAUUUGCUAAGUAUACAAAUGAGCUGAAAUUUUUCUAUGAAAGAAACUGCUGUUUUAAAUGUGUCCACUAGAUGUGGCAAUGGCAAUUCUUUGUAUCUUUGUAGAUGAUGCUACAUACAGUAUGUACAAAAAAAAUAAAACACAUGAUGUUAGUGCAAUAGUCGAAGAAAAUUAGCAAACUACAUAAAUAACAUCCUGUAAUUUGAUUUUGAUAUUUUUUUUUUAUCUUGUUAGAUUGAAAAUGAACCCCAAUGAGUUGACUGAUGAACAUUAUCACGUCAUUUAUUCAGAAAGUAUAAAUAACGACAAUUAAAGGUAGAACACUAUUAACUGCAACAUGUAAGUGUAAAAAAAACAACACGAUUUGUUUAUUUUUGAGAAAUUCUAUUUUUAAACAAAGAAAACAAUCUGAAGUUGUCUUUAUUUUUAAGUUAUCGUGCCGUGAUUUUACCAGUCCGGCCCACUUGGGAGUAGAUUUUUCUCAAUGUGGCCCCCGAUCUAAAAUGAGUUUGACACCUCUGGCCUAGAUAAAUUGGUAAACAUCCUCACAAAUAUUGAUAUAAAGCAUUACCGUAUUUUCCGGACCAUAGGGCACACCGGAUUAUAAGGAGCACUGCCGAUGAAUGGUCUAUUUUUGAUCUUUUUUUCAUAUAUAAGGCGCACCGGAUUAUAAGGCGCAUUAAAGGAGUCAUAAUAUAUAUAUUUUUUUCUAAAUGUAAAAGACUUCCUUGGGGUCUACAUAACAUGUAAUGGUGGUUCUUUGCUCAAAAUGUUGCAUAGAUGAUGUUUUACACAUCAUCUUCAAGCCGCUUCCGGGUGCGCCGUUUUGUGGGCGGUCUUAUUUACGUGGCUCACCUUCGGCAGCGUCUUCUCCCCGUCAUCUUUGUUGUGAAGUGUCAAAAGAUGGAGCUAACUGUUUUAAUGACAUUCAGACUUUACUUCAAUCAAUAACGGAGCAGCAUCUCCUCAUCCAGAAACAACAACACCAGAAAUGUGUCCCGUGAAAAACCGUCCGACCAGAACUCUAAUAACUAAAGUUCCUUGGGUGAAUAAUGGUAACUCACUACACCGGUAUGUUUUAGGGCUUUCAUGGCGAGUUUACUGACUGAAAUAAGUAAUAACUUUACACUGCUUUUUAUUAGAAAUGGCAACAGCAGAGGAUGGAUGUCCCAUAACAAGAAGGUGGAGAAAAAGAAGAAUCUUAUCGACUACGGUGUCGGCACGGACUACAAAGGCGGACCUGCACAAUAUUUCAGUACCUCCGUGUCUCCGCAGUGAGCCGUGCGCCUCACCUGCCGAUCUUCCCCCUGGACUCUGACUGCCUUCCUCGACCCCCGCACUCGGACCUGGACUUCUGGACGCCUCUCUCCUGCCCCCACGGACCUCGCUCGGAUCACGAACCUCUUUUGCUUCGCCCCUCUGGACUUGUUUGCUGCCACAACCAACACACACUUACAAUAACCUCUGGUAACUUAUAUUUGGUUAACUUCUACACAUAGCCCUGCAUCCACACACAUAGUAGCAUACACACCCUACGUAAUCAUCAAGCUCAAAUAAAACCCGUUGAGCUAGACCUCCUGCUGUCGUACCGUCUCCUUCCCCCUUCGUCUUACGUAACAGUACCGGUACCAAAAUGUAUUUUGAUACUUUUCUAAAAAAAGGGUACCACAAAAAAUUGCAUUAUUAGCUUUAUUUGAACAAAACAUCUUAGUGUACAUGAAACAUAUGUUUAUUAUUG